rnacentral:rRNA from 1 species
AUUGAACGCUGGCGGCAGGCUUAACACAUGCAAGUCGAGCGGAGUUGUGGUGCUUGCACCAUAACUUAGCGGCGGACGGGUGAGUAAUGCUUAGGAAUCUGCCUAUUAGUGGGGGACAACAUCUCGAAAGGGAUGCUAAUACCGCAUACGUCCUACGGGAGAAAGCAGGGGAUCUUCGGACCUUGCGCUAAUAGAUGAGCCUAAGUCGGAUUAGCUAGUUGGUGGGGUAAAGGCCUACCAAGGCGACGAUCUGUAGCGGGUCUGAGAGGAUGAUCCGCCACACUGGGACUGAGACACGGCCCAGACUCCUACGGGAGGCAGCAGUGGGGAAUAUUGGACAAUGGGGGGAACCCUGAUCCAGCCAUGCCGCGUGUGUGAAGAAGGCCUUUUGGUUGUAAAGCACUUUAAGCGAGGAGGAGGCUACUGGUAUUAAUACUACUGGAUAGUGGACGUUACUCGCAGAAUAAGCACCGGCUAACUCUGUGCCAGCAGCCGCCGUAAAAC